rnacentral:lncRNA from 1 species
CAGAAGCCGAAAGUUCCGGGUGCUGGAGCCGUAACUUUGAUUGCUCCGGGUGCCACGCUGACCCCGGAACGCGGACAGUAUGUCUAUAAAGCCCAUAAUUAUGGCUUCCACGGUCGGAACUUUUUUUUUCAAUGUGAGAAUUUUUAAAGUCAUUGAUACGGGAAAACUUGAAAACUUCGAGAAAAGGGGCUGAAAGUUUUUCUGGACACCCAGUUUUUCUCUCAGAUUGACGGCACUGAGGGUUGGUCUAAGAAUCCCUUCUAGCUAUUUCUGUUUCAUUGACUGUACACUUUUUUGUGAUGUUUAAUUAUGUAUUGCAUAUGAAACUUUUGGAGACUAUAUGAUAAAUAAAAUACUUAAAACUCACUUGGACGUAAUAUAUUUACUGGCGGACGCGUUUCGCCGGCUCGCAUAUUUAUUCAUCAAGUUUUUGUUGGUCUAAUUCGAAACAAAUCAUGCACAGGAAGUGAGAAUUCAUUUAAAAAAUGAUGGCUUGGCGUGUCACAAUUAUUUGCUUGCAUUCCCUCGAUGCAUUGAGCCGCGCAAGGUAGCGACGCGACUGUUAUCCUAUAUUUGUUCGUUACAUUAAGUCAACAUGAGUGCUUUGUUUUUCUCAGCGGCUGUCUUCAUAUACUAUCUUAACUUUUUUCUACCAGCCGUUUUGACUGCGACCAACCAGGCCCGCAGUACUGUGGUUGUCGUUGAGGAUCCUCUGACAAAUUGUGACAAUCGGGAUUAUGUGCUAGCCUUUGAUCCUAUGACUAUCACACGCGACGGCAAAUUUUUGAUCGUCAACGGAAGAAUAAUAGUGCAAAGAGACCUACAAAACCCUCUUUCGUUUAUAAUCCGGAUCGAAAAAUGCAAGGAUAAGGGAAACCUCAAUUCCUGCGAAUACUAUUCAACAUGGAAGUGGGACGAUGUAUGCAUACCAUUCAAAAUACUGCCUUUCAUGGAGGGCUUUUACAAGGCUCACGUGCCCAAAACUAACCAUUGUCCCUACAAAAAGUUUAUAAUCCGGAUCGAAAAAUGCAAGGAUAAGGGAAACCUCAAUUCCUGCGAGUAUUAUUCAACAUGGAAGUGGGACGAUGUAUGCAUACCAUUCGAAAUACUGCCUUUCUUUAAGGGCUUUACCAAUGCUUUUGUGCCCAAAGCUCACUGUCCCUACAAAAAGAAUAUUUACGAAAUGAGAAACUUCAGGAUUCCAUCGGAUGCAAUGACUGCCAUGCUCCCGAACAGUGAAGGUCAUCCUCUCUAUAAUGUCCGCAUGCUCACCAAAGAGCAAAAAGAGAUUGUUUCUUGUAUAUUUCUCAGUUUUCGUUUCGCGACUGUCAGAAAAAAAGUUUAAUUAUCACGGGUCUUUUAAAGCGAGGUCUAUCAUAGUUCGGCAUACAUAAAAUAAUUGGCUUAGAAGAGGAAAAACGCGUACCUACUUUUGUUAUGAUUUUGUGGGGGUGCUUAACCAUAAGAGACCAAAAAAUUGAACGGAUGUCUUUCUAAAAGUUUUUUUCAUUCCAUAAUUCUGCCGCAUCCUGCCGUGCCCACGUGAUAUUCAUUUUUUAUCCUGAGGAAUUACUGGCCGCCCGAUUCGAAACCGCCAACUAAUAGAGCAAACAGCCCAGUAAAACUUUGUCUUAUGAAAUUGCUUUCCUGCAUGAUUCUUUGAUCGCAAUAGAUAUUCAUUUAAACUUGGAAAAACGGUCAAAUUGCAGGAUAAGCACCAAACGGGCAGCUAUAUUCAAACAAUAAUACACAAUGAAACCUGACUUGAGACACCCGGUGCAAUUUGUGUUAUGCGAGAAUUGCGAAUUCAAAACUAAGCUAAGGUUGUAAAGUGUCUAACGGCAGUGUGUACGACAGUACAUGUGAAAAGCAAAAUUUGCUGCAUGAACGCAUUUUCUUUAAAGAAUUUUCAUUUUUUAUCAAACUUCAGGGCAAGAAGGAUCCUCCAUAAGCACUUGACUUUCGGUUAUCCUCACGGAUUUUUUUGAAUGGACCACAAAACAGUGUAUGAAUUUUAUUGAAGCAUACUGUGUUACACGUUUCCACUUCAAAAGUUUAUUUAGGAAGCAAAUAAUACAACGGAAAGUUCGAAAAUCAAUUCCUAAGCAUAUUAUCAACACGUCACCCAGAUCAAGUGGAACAGUAGUUAUACAAAAUGAGUCGUUUUCAUACUAACUUGAAUUUAAGUGAUUAAUUAAUAAUAAAUACUCAUAUUUGUUUCUGGAGUUGACCUAUAAAGUUAUCACCUCAGUUAGCAAAGCGGGAAAUCCUCCCUUUUUAAUAUAGAAAUUGCAUCUAGAACUCCGCAAGCGUAUUCAAGGUAAUAGGAAAUAAAACAUGAAAUAAGAAAAAAAAUCGGAAAUCUGGAUUAAAUAAAUAAAUUUAUGUGUUUUUGUCUCCCUUCUUUUUUAAAUUUUUCCCUUACCAUCACUCUUUUAUCACAUCGUUCGUUUUACACUUAUUUCUGAGCCGACAUUUAAAAUGAUUAAUAUUCAGAAGGAAUCGUAUGAUUCCCGUGAUUCAGUAUUUACCUUCUUGGGGUUUUGAGAACUGAUGGGAUCAUCAUUACUUCCAAGAUCUUUUUUGGGAGCUGCUCAUGGCUUUACCUCUUACAAUAGGUACAAAUAGAAAUUAUUAUCCUAAGUAAGAGGGGGAAAAACCAUAUAGGUACGUCGCAUAACUUUCAAGGGAUUUUUCGUGAACGUCAGAUGAAAAAAUGUGAAUACCUACAUUCGACAGUUUUAUAAUUUUAGUAGUUGCUGCAGUGCUGCAUAUCCUGAAGAAACCUUUCAAUUUUGAUUAUUGAAGGCAGUUCGCCUUUCUUCUUUUUCUUUUCCCUCUUUAAAAGUGACGUCACUGAUGUGCCUUUCAAAAUAUGUUGACGUAUGAGAACUUAAGAUAGUGUUCAAACAAAAUGUUCUGAAACAUUUUAACUUGUAACAGUAGCUGAACUAGGUGUAAGUAAAACUGACAAAAACUCGAGCCAGUCAUUAUAAUCCGCAAUUCAAAUGACACUUUUCGGUCCUGCAGAAGACUGCUUGUACCAGACCAAGUAUCUCCGUUGUCGACAUUGCAGCCUCUCUGUCAUGCUUUUUUUACUAUUUACUGUUUUUUAGAUGGAAAACUACCAACGUAAAUUCUUAAAAGCUCUCAUGAUUUUUCUUUUCUGUGUCAAAAAAAAUCUGUAAAAUCUUCAAGGAGCAACAUUGGUUAAUUCUUAUUAAUUGACGAAAACAAGAAUAGAACAGAGUUUUUAAAGGAGAAACGCGUUCUGGUGGUUUCACCGUUAAAAUACUCCAUAAUAAUUAUAUGCCGAAGUUUUUUGAUCCGGCUUUACCGAUAGCUCCGUCUUCUAAACUGAAAAGCGCCGCUCCAACUUAUUGGUUUGUAAAACCGAGCAUUUUUUUUUUCUCAGUCAUUCUGCCGCCGCCCCCCCCCCCCCCCUCCCCUCGCGCUUGUGGUGACAACGGGAAACCCUCGGGGACGACCGGGACAAAUGGACGUCGCGUCAACUGCAAAUGAGUCAAAAAAUACUCCGCCGGUUAUAAUUACCCGGCGACGGUGUAUAAAUUCAUAACUGCGACCGCAGCCCCCG